GAUCGAACGCUAGCGGCAGGCCUAACACAUGCAAGUCGAGGGAGAGGUUAUCUUCGGGUAACCAAAACCGGCGCACGGGUGCGUAACGCGUAUACAAUCUGCCUUUCACAUAGGGAUAGCCCGAAGAAAUUUGGAUUAAUACCUAAUGGUAUAUAAGAGCGGCAUCGUUUUUAUAUUAAAGCUACGGUGGUGAAAGAUGAGUAUGCGUUCUAUUAGCUAGUUGGAGAGGUAACGGCUCCCCAAGGCGACGAUAGAUAGGGGUUCUGAGAGGGAUGUCCCCCACACUGGUACUGAGAUACGGACCAGACUCCUACGGGAGGCAGCAGUGAGGAAUAUUGGACAAUGGUCGGAAGACUGAUCCAGCCAUGCCGCGUGCAGGAUGAAGGUCCUAUGGAUUGUAAACUGCUUUUGUAAGGGAAGAAUAAGGAGUACGUGUACUUUGAUGACGGUACCUUACGAAUAAGCAUCGGCUAACUCCGUGCCAGCAGCCGCGGUAAUACGGAGGAUGCGAGCGUUAUCCGGAAUCAUUGGGUUUAAAGGGUCCGUAGGCGGGCUGAUAAGUCAGAGGUGAAAGCGCUUAGCUCAACUAAGCAACUGCCUUUGAAACUGUCAGUCUUGAAUGAUUGUGAAGUAGUUGGAAUGUGUAGUGUAGCGGUGAAAUGCUUAGAUAUUACACAGAACACCGAUAGCGAAGGCAUAUUACUAACAAUUUAUUGACGCUGAUGGACGAAAGCGUGGGGAGCGAACAGG
rnacentral:rRNA from 1 species